UGUUAGUUGCCAUCAGGUCAUGCUGGGGACUCUAACAAAACUGCCCGCGUAAGCGUGGAGGAAGGUGGGGAUGACGUCAAAUCAGCACGGCCCUUACGUCCAGGGCUACACACGUGCUACAAUGGCCGGUACAGAGGGCAGCCACUUGGUGACAAGGAGCAAAUCUCAAAAGCCGGUCUCAGUUCGGAUCGGAGUCUGCAACUCGACUCCGUGAAGUUGGAUUCGCUAGUAAUCGUAGAUCAGCAAUGCUACGGUGAAUACGUUCCCGGGCCUU
rnacentral:rRNA from 1 species